rnacentral:rRNA from 1 species
GACGAACGCUGGCGGCGUGCCUAAUACAUGCAAGUAGAACGCUGAAGGAGGAGCUUGCUUCUCUGGAUGAGUUGCGAACGGGUGAGUAACGCGUAGGUAACCUGCCUGGUAGCGGGGGAUAACUAUUGGAAACGAUAGCUAAUACCGCAUAAGAGUAGAUGUUGCAUGACAUUUGCUUAAAAGGUGCAAUUGCCUCACUACCAGAUGGACCUGCGUUGUAUUAGCUAGUUGGUGGGGUAACGGCUCACCAAGGCGACGAUACGUAGCCGACCUGAGAGGGUGAUCGGCCACACUGGGACUGAGACACGGCCCAGACUCCUACGGGAGGCAGCAGUAGGGAAUCUUCGGCAAUGGACGGAAGUCUGACCGAGCAACGCCGCGUGAGUGAAGAAGGUUUUCGGAUCGUAAAGCUCUGUUGUAAGAGAAGAACGAGUGUGAGAGUGGAAAGUUCACACUGUGACGGUAUCUUACCAGAAAGGGACGGCUAACUACGUG